rnacentral:rRNA from 1 species
UACAGAGGGUGCAAGCGUUAAUCGGAAUUACUGGGCGUAAAGGGCGCGUAGGUGGUUGAUAAAGUCAGAUGUGAAACCCCUGGGCUUAACCUAGGAAUUGCAUUUGAAACUUGUCGACUAGAGUUUGGGAGAGGGAAGUGGAAUUUCAGGUGUAGCGGUGAAAUGCGUAGAUAUCUGAAGGAACAUCAGUGGCGAAGGCGACUUCCUGGCCCGAUACUGACACUGAGGCGCGAAAGCGUGGGUAGCGAACAGG